UACAGAGGGGGCAAGCGUUGUUCGGAAUUACUGGGCGUAAAGGGCGCGUAGGCGGCCUUCUAAGUCGAACGUGAAAUCCCCGGGCUCAACCUGGGAACUGCAUCUGUGACUGCAUUGCUGGAGUGCGGCAGAGGGGGAUGGAAUUCCGCGUGUAGCAGUGAAAUGCGUAGAUAUGCGGAGGAACACCGAUGGCGAAGGCAAUCCCCUGGGCCUGCACUGACGCUCAUGCACGAAAGCGUGGGGAGCAAACAGG
rnacentral:rRNA from 1 species